rnacentral:rRNA from 1 species
AUGGAGCAGCGUCACGCGGACAAAAUGCCGGCGAGCGCGCCGCAUCACGACGAGCACCCGAAGCAGCCGCCUCCCGACGAGGAGGAGGCUUCUUCGCUGAGCCCCACGGUGGCGAGGCUGGUCCGGGAGUCCAUCGCCUCCAAGCCGGCGGACGGCGGGAAGGCGGCCGCGGACGGCUCGUCAGACAUCCUGGCCUUCGCGCGCUCCGUCGACCGCGUGGACUCCAGCCUCGAGUAG